CCUACGGGCGGCAGCAGUGAGGAAUAUUGGUCAAUGGGGGGAACCCUGAUCCAGCGACGCCGCGUGAGUGAAGAAGUAUUUCGGUAUGUAAAGCUCUAUCAGCAGGGAAGAAAGAAAUGACGGUACCUGACUAAGAAGCCCCGGCUAACUACGUGCCAGCAGCCGCGGUAAUACGUAGGGGGCAAGCGUUAUCCGGAUUUACUGGGUGUAAAGGGAGCGUAGACGGCGAUGCAAGUCUGAAGUGAAAGGCGGGGGCCCAACCUCCGGACUGCUUUGGAAACGGUAUGGCUGGAGUGCAGGAGAGGUAAGUGGAAUUCCUAGUGUAGCGGUGAAAUGCGUAGAGAUUAGGAGGAACACCAGUGGCGAAGGCGGCUUACUGGACUGUAACUGACGUGGAGGCUCGAAAGCGUGGGGAGCAAACAGGAUUAGAUACCCGGGUAGUC
rnacentral:rRNA from 1 species